rnacentral:rRNA from 1 species
GUGGCGCACGGGUGCGUAACGCGUAUGCAACCUACCUUUAACUGGGGGAUAGCCUUCCGAAAGGAAGAUUAAUACCGCAUAACAUAAUGAAGUGGCAUCACUUUAUUAUCAAAACUCCGGUGGUUAAAGAUGGGCAUGCGUAAUAUUAGCUAGUUGGUGAGGUAAUGGCUCACCAAGGCUACGAUAUUUAGGGGGUCUGAGAGGAUGAUCCCCCACACUGGUACUGAGACACGGACCAGACUCCUACGGGAGGCAGCAGUAAGGAAUAUUGGACAAUGGUGGCAACACUGAUCCAGCCAUGCCGCGUGCAGGAUGAAUGCCCUAUGGGUUGUAAACUGCUUUUAUACGGGAAAAAACCCUACUACGUGUAGUAGGCUGAUGGUACCGUAAGAAUAAGGAUCGGCUAACUUCGUG